rnacentral:lncRNA from 1 species
AAUAUUCUUGGACUUCACUAAGAUAUUUUUAAAUCAAAAUUUAAUUAAAAAUUCUAUUCUUUUCCUUACUGGUGACUUAGAAAUUUUCAAAUAUCUUUGAGAUGUCAAGGAAAUAAAAGCUUGUCUACUUUCUUCUUUAGGUAGCUGAAGCUCAAGAUACUGUACGGCAACAUUACAGAGAUGCGAUUAUUUACCUAUGAAGACUCAAAAAGAUCUUCUGAUACCAACUUUGUACAGAUGACAGAGCCCUGUGAUUCAAAUUCCCUGACAUGCUUGAAGGCUGUCAUGCACCCCAUCAAAACAGAAUUUCCAAGUCUCUGCAUCAGUUAGUAUGGACUGAAAUAUGGUUCUCAUGUCAAAUGAAGGCUCCAAAGCCAGGGGUCUGUCUAAAACACCAGCUGAGUGCUCCCUUAGCCCUUCUGAAUCAACUUCAAAAUCUCACAAGGGAAGGGAGACAUUUCCUCAAAGGCUCCCGGAUUGCAUCCAUGAGAAACAACUUUUCACAAUCUGAUUAUUCUCCAAAGGCUAGUAUUGCUCAAAUCAGUAGCUAGAUUGCGAUCAUAAGAAAGGAAUUUGGAAUAAUAUCCUUAGAUACAAAACAAAUACUAGAGCUUCACAGACAGCUGCAAAUAUCUUAAGAUCAACCUGUCCUAAUUAGAGAACGUAAAAUUUCAGCACAACCCAUUGAAAAGCCACAGCUUGAGUUCCAAUGACACUAAACACAGAGAAAUCAUACUGCAUUAAUAAAGGUCACUUACUAUCAGGUAUAUAUAAACA